GCUAAUACCGGAUAACAACAGAUGAUGCCUAUCAACUGUUUAAAAGAAUGGUUCUGCUAUCACUCUUGGAUGGACCUGCGGUGCAUUAGCUAGUUGGUAGGGUAACGGCCUACCAAGGCGAUGAUGCAUAGCCGAGUUGAGAGACUGAUCGGCCACAUCGGGACUGAGACACGGCCCAAACUCCUACGGGAGGCAGCAGUU
rnacentral:rRNA from 1 species